rnacentral:rRNA from 1 species
CAUGUAUGAGUACAAGCCGAAAUAAGGUGAAACCGCGAAUGGCUCAUUAAAUCAGUCAUAAUUUGCUGGCCGAGACUGUGAUACAUGGAUAACUGUGGUAAUUCUAGAGCUAAUACAUGCAACCGAGACCUAGCCCGGCUCUUCGGGGUCGGCGGGUCGCUUUUAUUGGCUGAAAACCGAUGAUUGCUGGGCUCACGCUCGGCAGUCGUUAUCUGUUGAAUCACAAUAACAUUGCGUGGAUCGUACGGUCUUGUACCGACGACGCGCUCUCUAAAUGUCUGCCCUAUCAGCUGUCGACGGUUAGCUAGUGGCUGACCGUGGCUGUGACGGGUAACGGGGAAUCUGGGUUCGAUUCCGGAGAGGCAGCCUGAGAGACGGCUACCACAUCUAAGGAAGGCAGCAGGCGCGUAACUUACCCACUCCCAGCUCAGGGAGGUAGUGACAAUAAAUACCUUACAGAGGUGCCGUCAAUCGGUAUCUCUCAAACGGAAUGAGUACAAUGUGAAUCCUUUAACGAGGAUCAACUGGAGGGCAAGCCUGGUGCCAGCAGCCGCGGUAAUUCCAGCUCCAGUAGCAUAUAUUAAAGCUGUUGCGGUUAAAAAGCUCGUAGUUGGAUAUCAGUGCGUGUCCACGUCCGGUAUGCUCGGCUGACUGCGUUCACGCGUGGUCACCGGGCUAAAAAGUAUCGGCUGGCCGCAUUCAAAUGUGCCGGAUCCGUUGACGGGCCGUUUUUCCAAGCGGCCUGUCGGCGACCGGCGAUGUUACCUUGAACAAAUUUGAGUGCUCAAGGCAGGCUAUCAACGCCUGAAAAUAUUUUCAUGGAAUUGGAGAAUAUGUCCCUGGCUCGAUUUGGUUGGUUUUGCGAGUCGAAGGGAAAUGAUUAAUAGGGACUGACGGAGGCAUUCGUAUUGCGACGCGAGGGGUGAAAUCCUGUGACCGUCGCAAGACGAACUACUGCGAAAGCAUUUGCCGAGAAUGUUUUCAUUAGUCAAGAACGAAAGUUAGAGGUUCGAAGGCGAUCAGAUACCGCCCUAGUUCUAACCGUAAACGAUGUCAACCAGCAAUCCGCAAUGGUCACUCUAUGGACCGUGCGGGCAGCUCCUCCCGGGGAAACCAGAGUUUUCGGACUCCGGGGGGAGUAUAGGUGCAAACCAGAAACUUAAAGGAAUUGACGGAAGGGCACCACCAGGAGUGGAGCUUGCGGCUUAAUUUGACUCAACACGGGACAACUCACCAGGCCCAGACACUGUAAGGAUUGACAGACUGAGAGCUCUCUCGUGAUUCAGUGGGUGGUGGUGCAUGGCCGUUCUUAGUUGGUGGAGUGAUUUGUCUGGUUUAUUCCGAUAACGAACGAGACUCUGGCCUAUUAAACUUGAGACCGUUCGUACUUGUACGUCGGUCGGCUUCUUAGAGGGAUCGUCGGCGCCUUAGCCGAACGAAAGAGAGCAAUAACAGGUCUGUGAUGCCCUUAGAUGUUCUGGGCUGCCCGCGUGUUACAC